GACGAACGCUGGCGGCGCGCUUAACACAUGCAAGUCGAACGGAAAGGCCUGCUUUCCCUUGUGGAUUGCGGGUACUCGAGUGGCGAACGGGUGAGUAACACGUGGGUGAUCUGCCCCCAACUUGGGUAUAAGCCUGGGAAACUGGGUCUAAUUCCCGAUAGGACUGCAGGGUGGUGCCUGUGGUGGAAAACGAUUUUCUAGUGGUUGGGGAUGAGCUCGCGGCCUAUCAGCUUGUUGGUGGGGUAAUGGCCUACCAAGGCGGCGACGGGUAGCCGGCCUGGGAGGGUGGACGGCCACAUUGGGACUGAGAUACGGCCCAGACUCCUACGGGAGGCAGCAGUGGGGAAUAUUGCACAAUGGGCGGAAGCCUGAUGCAGCGACGCCGCGUGGGGGAUGACGGCCUUCGGGUUGUAAACUCCUUUCGACCGCGAGGAAGCCACCUGGUUGGAAGGGUGGUGACGGUAGUGGUAGAAGAAGCACCGGCUAACUACGUG
rnacentral:rRNA from 1 species